UGGGGAAUUUUGGACAAUGGGGGAAACCCUGAUCCAGCCAUCCCGCGUGUGCGAUGAAGGCCUUCGGGUUGUAAAGCACUUUUGGCAGGAAAGAAACGUCGCGGGUUAAUACCCCGCGAAACUGACGGUACCUGCAGAAUAAGCACCGGCUAACUACGUGCCAGCAGCCGCGGUAAUACGUAGGGUGCAAGCGUUAAUCGGAAUUACUGGGCGUAAAGCGUGCGCAGGCGGUUCGGAAAGGAAGAUGUGAAAUCCCAGAGCUUAACUUUGGAACUGCAUUUUUAACUACCGGGCUAGAGUGUGUCAGAGGGAGGUGGAAUUCCGCGUGUAGCAGUGAAAUGCGUAGAUAUGCGGAGGAACACCGAUGGCGAAGGCAGCCUCCUGGGAUAACACUGACGCUCAUGCACGAAAGCGUGGGGAGCAAACAGGAUUAGAUACCCUGGUAGUCCACGCCCUAAACGAUGUCAACUAGCUGUUGGGGCCUUCGGGCCUUGGUAGCGCAGCUAACGCGUGAAGUUGACCGCCUGGGGAGUACGGUCGCAAGAUUAAAACUCAAAUGAAUUGAC
rnacentral:rRNA from 1 species